CUGCACUAGUCGGGGAGCCAGCGGUGCCCUGUAGCCUGCAAUCCGCUAUAGCAGGGAUGAAUUCCUCUCCGAGGGUAUGCGAUGUGUCGUCUGGCGGCAGUAAGUGGCGCUGACGGUCUGGUCUCGCGCAACACAGCCCCGUGAACCAUGUCAGGCGGGGAACCGAGCAGCAUUAAGCGGAUCGCUGUGUGUGCCGUGAGGGUGCCGGACCUGAGCCGGCUGCUGUUGCACCGGGCAUACCGCAUCAUUCAAGGAAAGGUGUGCAG
rnacentral:SRP_RNA from 2 species